AUACGGAGGGUGCAAGCGUUAAUCGGAAUUACUGGGCGUAAAGCGUACGUAGGCGGUUAUUUAAGUCAGAUGUGAAAGCCCCGGGCUUAACUUGGGAACUGCAUUUGAAACUGGGUAACUAGAGUUUAGUAGAGGGGAGUGGAAUUUCAGGUGUAGCGGUGAAAUGCGUAGAGAUCUGAAGGAACACCAGUGGCGAAGGCGACUCCCUGGACUAAAACUGACGCUGAGGUACGAAAGCGUGGGUAGCAAACAGGAUUAGAAACCCUUGUAGUCC
rnacentral:rRNA from 1 species